rnacentral:rRNA from 1 species
GACGAACGCUGGCGGCGUGCUUAACACAUGCAAGUCGAACGGAAAGGCCCUGCUUUUGUGGGGUGCUCGAGUGGCGAACGGGUGAGUAACACGUGAGUAACCUGCCCUUGACUUUGGGAUAACUUCAGGAAACUGGGGCUAAUACCGGAUAGGAGCUCCUGCUGCAUGGUGGGGGUUGGAAAGUUUCGGCGGUUGGGGAUGGACUCGCGGCUUAUCAGCUUGUUGGUGGGGUAGUGGCUUACCAAGGCUUUGACGGGUAGCCGGCCUGAGAGGGUGACCGGCCACAUUGGGACUGAGAUACGGCCCAGACUCCUACGGGAGGCAGCAGUGGGGAAUAUUGCACAAUGGGCGGAAGCCUGAUGCAGCAACGCCGCGUGCGGGAUGACGGCCUUCGGGUUGUAAACCGCUUUCGCCUGUGACGAAGCGUGAGUGACGGUAAUGGGUAAAGAAGCACCGGCUCACUACGUG